AUUCAGUUUGUAUUCUAGUGUUGUGUAAAAACUACUGUUUCUUCUUUGUGUGUACAUUGAUGUGUUUUCUGAGUUGUGAUGAAAUAGAGAAACAAAAUAUUUAAAAAAAACCAACAAAUCACUUGUGUUAAGAAAAACUGAUUGCAAAUGAUUGCAUAAACAUAACUUAAAAUCUUCUUCAACUGGUGUCUCAAGACAUUGAGCGACUAUGAUCCCAAAGUCUUAAAAAUGGUUGACACUGCUGAACUUCAUUAUGCUUCAUGCAAACUCUCUACAGAAAUCAUCAUGCAAGGAUUUAUAGCCGACGAAGCUUUAGUUUCAAAAUAUAAACCUGAUUUUAGUAAAUAUUUCUUUAACAGAGCUCUCUUUGCAAACAAAUGUCAUAAUGACAAUGGAUGAAAAAAAUUUAACAUUAUAAAAAUAUUUACUACAAAGCAUUUUAUAUAAUUUAUUUCAUUAUUUAUA